UGUUUUGAUAGCAAGUCAAAAUAGUCUUUGUGACUGAGUAAAAUUGAUGGGUAAAGGUUUCUUGGAAUAAAAUAAUUGUUUUCUGCCUUAUUGAAUGUAAUUUCGUAUUGGCUAGGAAAUGCAGUAUAAUCUAUUGGGAACAAUUCACUUUUCUCUAUAACUUACUGUAGCACUACAGGUCUUUCUACGUAUAUUCCUUUGUUUGGAAAGCUCCUUCGGCCUUGUGUAAUCUGAUGCCGUUUGUUGUUUUUGAAGAGUUGUGCUGCAGAAUGAGAGUCUCACGACUUGAUGCCUGCUUGUUAUUUAACUUACCGAAAUGUAUUAUAUAACUUUGUCUUCUUAUUGUUCACACAGAUCUUUCCACAGCCGGAUGUACUUCCUCUGCCCUCACUGCAAGAAGGCUCCACCCUCUCUUCCUGUGCACCUCAGGACGGUGUGCAUGCGCGACCGCUCAGAGGCAGAGAUACAGGCCACGGUGAUCCAAGCCAAGAAAGAGCUGUCUAAAUUUAUCCACAGGGGACGUCUCUGGGAGUACCAGAGUAUUAAAGACAUUUUGGCAACUGCUGAUCCUCUUGCCAGGUUGUUAGAGGAGAUGCAAAAGUUGUGGCUUAGGGCUUAGUGGUAACAAACAAACCUCCAGUCCUCCCUUCCCCCACACGGCCUGUGCCCUCUUUACCUUCAUCUGCUCCUCAAAGCCCUGGAGAAGGUGCGAACAAGCCACACGUUGUGACGAACAUGACCGAUCAGGAACGGGAGGGGAGAACCCACACGCCGAACGAAGCUUCUGUUGCAGUGAAGGAGGAAGUGACUGAUGACAAGGAAAAUGUAAGUUUAUAUUCAAAAUUACACCAUAACAGCAGAUUAAAUAUAUGGUGGAUAAAGUCAUGCAAGACUACAGCUUCAUAUGUAUGUUUUUAUUUUCAUUACAAAGGGUCUUAUCUAGAGAAACGAUCUGUCAUUUUCUACAAAAAUACAACUGUAAAACCUGGAAAAAUAAAUUUGAAAAAAAAUUUUAUCACUAAACUACUGUCAUAAAAAGUUAUAGUUUUGUAUAUACAUAACUCCUGAAUAAAAAUUAAAAUGUGUUUGGACUGAUUUUUUUAAAAAAAAGUUACGAACAAAUUUGAUUGGUUUGUCGAUAGUGAGCGCAAAUGCAGGUGAUAAGCGGUUUUAUUAAGCGAGUCAUUGAGUCGUUCAUUCACGAUUCGUUCAAACGGCUGAUUCAUCAAGAAUGAGACAGAUGUUUGUGAAUGGGUCAUUGAAUCUUUGACUCAAACGAUUUGUUCAAAACACUGAAUCAUUCAAAACAUGACUGAGUGUUGCUGUCAGAUGCGCUAUGUUGUGAUCUUUGUUUUCAAUUCAUCGGAUCUAUUUUCGCUGCUAAAAUAAACCAAAACAGUAACUUAAUAUUAUUAACUUGUUUGUUGAACUGUCAUAUCAGUGUCACAUUUGGUGACACUGAGCGGGGUGUAAAUGUAAAUGUUUACUCACUCUCACACAAAAAUAAAUCACUGCAUUUAAAUUGACUCACGACAUAGCUCUCCAUUCACUCUAGUCUAGUCUCUUGCCAAGUUCACUUGUGCCAGCUCUCGCUAGUCUGUUAUCAAUCUCGAUUUACAUCGGCCUUUACUACAAAACCCCAACAGUCUUUUUAAAGACUAAACCCACAAACAUUCUUUUUAAAGAUUAGAUCAAAUCUCAGCCCUAGCCAGUCAUUUUUUUAACUGCUAGGCAGUAGCUACACUUAGCUAAAACUACCCACGCAACUAAGACACACACACACACACACACACACUGACGAGGACUACAAUCGUUAAGUAUUAAAAUAAAAUCUGAAUUGUCUGCAAAAUAAUUGUUUUGUUCGUUUAAUUAAAGAUCGUGCCUAAGUCCCGACUGAUUAGCCCCUGAUACGUCUCUCAACAUAGCCACACACACAGUUACAUAUUGCCUAAAUUUUAUUGAAAACACAUAACAAAAAUGGAGAAAUUUCUUGUGAAGACCAACAAGCCAACCGACGCACCACCAGCUGCAAAAAAGCUUCGAAGGUACGAUGAAGCAUACCUGCAGUUUGGGUUUACAGUCACAGCUGAUCUGAGACCUCAGUGUGUCGUGUGUGCCGAAGUGCUGGCAAACGACAGUAUGAAGCCCUGCAAAUUAAAAAGGCACCUCGAAACAAAGCAUGCUGGCAUUAAAAAUAAACCGGAUGAAUAUUUUAAAAGAAAGCUUGAUGGCCUCCAUCAGCAACAGGCAACCAUUUCAGUGCACAGCACUGUGUCUAAACAGUGUUUGGAGGCAUUGUAUGUAGUGGCCAAAAGAAUCGCUCAACUGGGUAAACCGCAUACAAUCGCCAGACUCUCAUUUUGCCGGCAGCACAAGACAUGUGCAGAAUAAUGAUAAGCGAUAGUGCAGCAGCCAAACUCGAUGCAUUGGCCUAUGCACGGAUGGUGCGCAGGCAAUAACAGGGCGUGAGCGUGGCCUAGCUGCUCGCGUUCAGCAAGUAGCUCCACUUGUGAAAUGGACACAUUGCAUGGUCCAUCGCGAAGCACUAGCUGCUAAAAAAAUGCGGGUUCUCUUUGACUCCGUGCUGAACCAAUCCAUGAAAAUUAUAAAUCUCAUCAAAUCACGGCCGCUAAACUCUCGCUUGUUUGGGGUCCUCUGCCAGGAGAUGGGGUCAGGGCACGAACAGCUGCUUCUGCACACUGAAGUUCACUGGCUCUCCAGGGGGCGGGUGUUACAGCGGUUAUAUGAGCUGUGAGAGGAGGUGAAGUGGUUUUUGACAGAAAUCAAAUCAGAUCUGGCGAAGCAUCUGGAUGACACUAUGUGGCUUGCGUCUCUGUCCUAUUUGGUCGAUAUAUUUGACUGCUUGAAUGGUCUCAACCUGUCUUUGCAAGGCCGCGAAACUCAUAUUUUGCUCCUUGCAGACAAAGUUCAUGCCUUUACACAAAAACUAGACCUCUGGCAUGGCCGCAUCAGUCGAUGGAACUGCGACAUGUUCCCCAUCCUUGCAGAUUUUAUCACUGAUGCAGGCACGUCACACGAUUUCUCCUCCCUAUUUCAAUCAGCGUUUGAGCACAUGUCAGCAAUGAGAAAACAAUUUGUGACAUACUUUAAAGAGGAUUAUCGCUCUUUUGCAUGGGUUCGAGAUCCGUUUGUGUGCACAGCAAACGAGCUAUCAAUUGUUAUGCAGGAACAGCUUAUUGAGCUGAAGAGUGACAGUAGACUGAAGGAACUCUUUAGCUCCUGCCCUCUUUCGUCAUUCUGGGCAGCAUUGAUGCAGGAAUACCCUAAAUUCUGUGACGGGGGGGGGACAAAGACAAUAUAACUGGGAGAUACAUUAAUCCCAUCAAAGGUAAGUUUUUUUUUUUUGGGUUUCCCAUAAACUAUCUCUUAACUACUUAACUUCUAUUAUACAGGAUACACAGUGGUCCACCGUAAAUACAGUCUGUGACCUGUACAGAGUAGCAUGCAUGCCUUGGAUAAUCCAAUAAUGGAGUAAAAUGUGUUUCAAAAAUAGACCAAAGUUUUAGAAGGGGCCAAGGGGUGUACUCACACUAGACGAUCUGAACCGUGCUCGAACAUGUUUGACCCCCAAAACCCUUUUUUUUUCUGGCUGAAGCACAUGCUGCA